rnacentral:rRNA from 1 species
GGAUUAGGCAUGCAAGUCGAACGAGGAUAUAUCCUUCGGGAUAUAAGCCGAGUGGCGCAAGGGUGAGUAAUGCAUAGAUUACCUACCUCUAGGAUAAGGACAACUUUGUGAAAACGAAGCUAAUACUUAAUAACACAAGAGAAAAUAAUUUUCUUUUGUCAAUGGGAGGGUAGCAAUACCUUUUGCCUAGAGAGGGGUUUAUGUCCUAUCAGCUUGUUGGUGGGGUAAUGGCCUACCAAGGCGAAGACGGGUAGCCGGUCUUAGAGGAUGGUCGGCCACACUGGGACUGAGACACUGCCCAGACUUCUACGGAAGGCUGCAGUCGAGAAUCUUUCGCAAUGCCCGAAAGG